rnacentral:piRNA from 1 species
UGCUUAUGACACAGUUUC